rnacentral:misc_RNA from 1 species
GCAAACUUGGUCAUUUAGAGGAAGUAAAAGUCGUAACAAGGUUUCCGUAGGUGAACCUGCGGAAGGAUCAUUAAAAAGUUUGUCACAAAUCUGUGACCUACUCUUGUGCAUCGUUCUAAUUGCCUUUGGCAGUCUUAGUCUUUCUUUCUUAAUUGAAAAAAAGCACCAAUUUAUUUUGGGAGGCUGCCAAUAGUUAAUACACAAACUCAAUAUUGCUAAUCUUGUCUGAAUAAUUUAAAAAUCUUGUGAUUUUUAUUUAUCAUAAAUUUUAAACAACUUUUGACAACGGAUCUCUUGGCUCUCGCAUCGAUGAAGAACGCAGC